rnacentral:rRNA from 1 species
CAGUGGGGAAUAUUGCACAAUGGGCGCUAAGCCUGAUGCAGCCAUGCCGCGUGUAUGAAGAAGGCCUUCGGGUUGUAAAGUACUUUCAGCAGUGAGGAAGGUGGGUAUGUUAAUAGCAUACUCAUUUGACGUUUAGCUGCAGAAGAAGCACCGGCUAACUCCGUGCCAGCAGCCGCGGUAAUACGGAGGGUGCGAGCGUUAAUCGGAAUUACUGGGCGUAAAGCGCAUGCAGGUGGUUUGUUAAGUCAGAUGUGAAAGCCCGGGGCUCAACCUCGGAAUUGCAUUUGAAACUGGCAAACUAGAGUACUGUAGAGGGGGUAGAAUUUCAGGUGUAGCGGUGAAAAUGCGUAGAGAUCUGAAGGAAUACCGGUGGCGAAGGCGGCCCCCUGGACAGAUACUGACACUCAGAUGCGAAAGCGUGGGGAGCAAACAGGAUUAGAUACCCUGGUAG